rnacentral:rRNA from 1 species
GACGAACGCUGGCGGCGUGCUUAACACAUGCAAGUCGAACGGAAAGGCCCUGCUUUUGUGGGGUGCUCGAGUGGCGAACGGGUGAGUAACACGUGAGUAACCUGCCCUUGACUUUGGGAUAACUUCAGGAAACUGGGGCUAAUACCGGAUAGGAGCUCCUGCUGCAUGGUGGGGGUUGGAAAGUUUCGGCGGUUGGGGAUGGACUCGCGGCUUAUCAGCUUGUUGGUGGGGUAGUGGCUUACCAAGGCUUUGACGGGUAGCCGGCCUGAGAGGGUGACCGGCGGCCACGGUGCGACUGAGCUGCCGAGAAGACUACGGCGGGCAGCAGUGGGGAAUAUUGCACAAUGGGCGGAAGCCUGAUGCAGCAACGCCGCGUGCGGGAUGACGGCCUUCGGGUUGUAAACCGCUUUCGCCUGUGACGAAGCGUGAGUGACGGUAAUGGGUAAAGAAGCACCGGCUAACUACGUG